GAUGAACGCUGGCGGCGUGCCUAAUACAUGCAAGUCGAGCGAACAGACGAGGAGCUUGCUCCUCUGACGUUAGCGGCGGACGGGUGAGUAACACGUGGAUAACCUACCUAUAAGACUGGGAUAACUUCGGGAAACCGGAGCUAAUACCGGAUAAUAUAUUGAACCGCAUGGUUCAAUAGUGAAAGACGGUUUUGCUGUCACUUAUAGAUGGAUCCGCGCCGCAUUAGCUAGUUGGUAAGGUAACGGCUUACCAAGGCAACGAUGCGUAGCCGACCUGAGAGGGUGAUCGGCCACACUGGAACUGAGACACGGUCCAGACUCCUACGGGAGGCAGCAGUAGGGAAUCUUCCGCAAUGGGCGAAAGCCUGACGGAGCAACGCCGCGUGAGUGAUGAAGGUCUUCGGAUCGUAAAACUCUGUUAUUAGGAAAGAACAAAUGUGUAAGUAACUAUGCACGUCUUGACGGUACCUAAUCAGAAAGCCACGGCUAACUACGUG
rnacentral:rRNA from 1 species